UUCAACGGAGAGUUUGAUCCUGGCUCAGGACGAACGCUAGCGGCGUGCUUAACACAUGCAAGUCGAGCGGUAAGGCCCUUCGGGGUACACGAGCGGCGAACGGGUGAGUAACACGU
rnacentral:rRNA from 1 species